GUGCAGCAGUUGCGAAAACUUGUCAAUGCACGAAAGUGUGAACGGGCUACCCCGAGUGCCGUCCGCUGAGGAUGGCUUUUCUCUGCUGUAAGAAGGCAGAGGAAUAAGGAGAGGGCAAGUCUGGUGUCAGCCGCCGCGGUAAUACCAGCUCCCCGAGUGGUAGGGAUGAUUAUUGGGCUUAAAGCGUCCGUAGCUGGCCUUUCAAGUCUCUUGUUAAAUCCAGCGAUUCAAUCGUUGGACUGCGGGAGAUACUGUUAGGCUAGGAGGCGGGAGAAGCCGACGGUAUUUCCGGGGUAGGGGUAAAAUCCUAUAAUCCCGGGAGGACCACCAGUGGCGAAGGCGGCCGACUAAAACGCGCCCGACGGUGAGGGACGAAAGCUGGGGGAGCGAACGGGAUUAGAUACCCGGGUAGUCC
rnacentral:rRNA from 1 species